UACAGAGGGGGCAAGCGUUGUCCGGAAUCACUGGGCGUAAAGGGCGCGUAGGCGGCCGUUCAAGUCGGGGGUGAAAGCCUGUGGCUCAACCACAGAAUGGCCCUCGAUACUGGAUGGCUCGAGACCGGAAGAGGUUGGUGGAACUGCGAGUGUAGAGGUGAAAUUCGUAGAUAUUCGCAAGAACACCAGUGGCGAAGGCGGCCAACUGGUCCGGUUCUGACGCUGAGGCGCGAAAGCGUGGGGAGCAAACAGG
rnacentral:rRNA from 1 species